GGGUGUAUAACUCAGCGGUUAGAGUAUGCUCCCUAACAAAUUCCCAUAUAUGGCGAUACUGAUUCGGAUGUGCGCUAGGUGUGAGAUUGCAGCGAGCAAUUUAUCUCAAGGUCGCUGGUUCGAGUCCGGCUAUACCCU
rnacentral:tRNA from 1 species